rnacentral:lncRNA from 1 species
GUCUAGUAUGAAGUGAAGCUGGAGAAAGGCAGUGGAAAAUCUCCACCGAAGUGCAAAUCGCAGCCACCAAAACCAGACCUACUGAAUCAAAAUAUAGAGCUCUUUAGGCCUUAAUGAUUGACAUGAUCUUGGAAAACAGGUAUGUAGCAAAACUCUCCUAGAAACCUGAAAGAUGUGGCAAGAAGAAAACAUGGAGCCUUUUCUGAACAAGCCUAUGAGAGAAGAAGAAUCACUUCAAUUUAUUAAGUGUGGAUUCUGGGGCUAAAGAACUUACCUACAACCACACAGCCAGCAAAUUACUGACCCAGCAUAUUCUGAACCCAGGUCUUUAUUCUUUCCAAAACUUCACAGCACCUUCCUCAGAGCAUCUCUACAUGAAAAUCUGUAUAAAGAAGUGAUCUGUGGUGUCGCCAUUUGUAUCAAAAUGGUAUCACAAACUUAUUUAAAAGGCUUCAUCUAAAAGUCUUCAGAGUUUUGGCCAGGGAAGAGCUCUAAUAUCACACAUUAAUAACCUUACCUUUGUAACAUGUAAAUUGUUUUUUGUUUUAACAUCUCAGUUUCAUUAAACUGAGACC